CAGGCUUUCAGUCUCUGAAACUAAAAGUAGCGGAGUUGGGAGGGACAGGUGAUUGGCUGUUUCGGUCCACUGCAGUUACUUUUGUUUUUCAAAAAAAUGUGUUUCUUAGUGUGCGUGCGUGUCUGUGUGUGUGUGUGUGUGUGUGUGUGUACAUGUGCACACAUGGAUGUCAUAAAGUUUAGAAAGGGGCCAGAAGGUCCUUGAAACAAAUCAUCCCUUUAUACAGUCACAGCAGGGCAGCAAAAAAUUUGACUCUGAGCUUAAUGAAAAUGAACAUCUUCCUUCUUUCAAUUUUAGGCCAUUCAGAUUUAUUUGGAGAGAAGUUGUGUUCAUGGGAGAGCUCUGAAUGUGUUCGUGGCCAUAUAUUAGAUCAGUCGUAUAUGCUGUGUUUGUUGAGACCCAGAAGGAAGGACACUUCCAGAAAGGUCUCCAUCACAGUGAUGAAAAACCUUCCCACAGAUCUGAAAGUCGUUAGCACGUCAGUGCUGCUAGUCAUUCUUGCCUCCUACUUGGGAACCACCUGGAAACUUCCUUGUUUGUGUGGUGUGUGUGCAGAGAUGGGGAUACUCAUUCUGAAUGAUAAAUCAGGUUCUUGA
rnacentral:lncRNA from 1 species